AGGGUUGGGAAGCCCCCAUCUAUAGAAAACGUGCCGUGUACAACGUGAAAUCAAUUCCCAUGCACAACAAUGAAGAUCCCAAUUACAAUGAACAAACACGUUCUUCUGAACAGCACUUCCUCCCUGACAUUAUGUCCAUGACCCUGCACCCUGCGGGGGGCUCGGAUAUGUUACGUCUGAUUCAAAGACAACCAAAAAGAAGGAAAUAAUGAUUUCACCAAGAAAGGACACAUACCAAGGCAGGAAUAGACAUUAAGUUUUGCAAAAUUAAAUGACUACAUUUACAGUCAUGGAGGAGAGACAUUGCCUCAACUCGGUUUCUUCUGAUGUGUCUUUGAAACAGAGCCCUGCAAAGCUAAUCUGCUCAACCUUCACCUACUGGGUUCAAUGAAUAUGAAAAGCUGCCUUCCUGAAACUUUUCCUUCAAAGAGGGAAUGAUCUCCUGGAAUUCAAGCUUCUACAGGGUGGCUACCUGGUGUUUUCCACUUUUGCCGUCUCCUAAAAAGCAUCAAUCAAGCCUUGCCCUUUCAACCCACUGAACACAUAAACAUGCUUUCUCCUUAACUGAACUUAUGGCCACGAUGAACUUGAACUCUGAGAUUCACAGAGGAGAGUUUGUUUUAACAGCUGCUUUUACAAUGAAGCCCUGGAGUUACUACUCUCAAGACCCCUGGUUCUGAUAGGCCAUCUUUUCACUGUCCUCUGCAUUUUCUAAUGCCCAGCUGUCAAGGAACAC
rnacentral:antisense_RNA from 1 species